GCCGGAAUAGCUCAGUUGGGAGAGCUUUCGACUGAAGUUGUUUCCGCAACAAAGGCCCCCGGUUCAAUCCCGGGUUCCGUCA
rnacentral:tRNA from 1 species